ACUUUGCCUCGAUCAAUGCUUCAUAUAAUCCUAAUGAUAUGGUUUGGGAGUUUCUACCAAGAGCCUUAAACUCUUGAUUAUGAAGUCUGUAACUUUAUAC
rfam:Vibrio sp. 2756-81 Vn_2756-81_contig2, whole genome shotgun sequence.